rnacentral:misc_RNA from 1 species
UCUAAAAUAAGAAAAGAAAGUAAAAAGAGGUGUCUAGCAUAGUAAAGUAUCAAACUUUAUUAAUAAGGUUUAGAUGGAAUCGAGGUCUCUUUUAGACAUACUUGUGAUAUAUCUCUAUGGACGUAAUUUCAUGUCCUUAAAAGCAUAAAGCACAGGUGAUACAUAACCAACCUUUCGAUCUUUUCCAAAUUUAUAUAGGAAAAUAAGAGAAUUCUAAGUGGGUGGGUCUUAAAGGCUCUUCACUCACCAACUUUAAUCAUAUUAUCUCAUUGAUAUCCUCUAGAUUUCACAUAUGCAACCAAACAAGUAAAGCUAGUUUGUGAUCCUUUUAUUCUCUUUAGGUGUACGAAAUUGAGGAAUCAAAAUGUUAAAACAGUUACUUUUGAAUAGAAAAUGGAAUUCAAAUCCUACUUUCUCAGUGUUGUGGGGUACGUACUACUCUUUCUAUCAACUGAAACUAACCACUACAACCGAAAAUAAAAGUGAAAACAUGGGGGUGCUUACUUUUCUACUUUCUUUUUGUUUCUCUCUUAGUAGUUUGAUUUUGUAUAGGCCGCCG